UUCAGCUUUACAUAUACAUAUAUAUAUUCUUUUUCAGAUUCUUUCCCAUUCUAGGUUAUUACAAAAGCUAUUGAAUACAGUUCCCUGCGCUGUACAGUAGGUCCUUGUAGUUAAUCUAUUUUAUAUAUAUUAGUGUGUAUCUGUUAAUCCUAAACUCUUAAUUUAUCCCUCCCCACUCUUUCCCCUUUGGUAACUGUAGUUUGUUUUCUUUGUCUGAGAGUCUGUUUCUAUUUUGUAAAUAAGUCCAUUUGUCUCAUUUUUUUUUUAGGUUCCACAUAUGAGUGACAUCAUAUGGUAUUUUUCUUUCUCUUUCUGGCUUAUUUCACUUAGAAUGACCAUCUCCAGCGGCUCUGAUGGGGGCGUCAAGGGGCGUGUGGUAACGAGCUGGGUCUGCACCGAUCUGAUGCUCUGGGAUGCGCAACCUCGUGGCUGGUGGCUGGUGACUGUUGGCAAACGUGACCGUUGGCAAAAGGACCCAGGACCCCGGACUCACAGACGGGCUCCUGAGGCUGGAGGAGCACAGAUCCUGCUCCAGCUGCUGGACCCCUGGUGUCGACGCUGACCCCUCUCCACGCGCUGCCUCUGCCUGACCCUCCUUCCCCUGGGUUUACUGCCCGCCUCCCGCACUGCGAUAAAUGCCUUGUUGAUCGGCACCGUCUCGUGCUCUGCUUUGUAAAAUCCAGCAAUAACGGUAGCAGCCAUCACAGGUGGCGCACCAGGCCCACCCACGAAUCCGUCCCACCCUCGUCGCCGGCGGAGGACAGGCCCCGCGUCGCUGAGUGUUUGCUGCGUGCCGGGCGGUUUGAUGGUGUCCUCAGAUCCACCGAGGGCCGAGAGUUCUUGUUCUCCUUUUAUAGACGAGCAAACACAGAAGUUGACUGGGGUGUCGCCAAGCCGGAGUCAGUGGAGGAGGAGGAGGAUUUAAAUGUACCAGGUCCUCGGCGCACAACCGCAGACUGCCCGUCCCCCUGGGGCCUGCGGACACCCACAUCUGUGUGGCUGAGCUGUGUGGCCGGGCAGAGAGCAUGGUGAACUGAGGCACGUGCUCUGCUCAGGUAUUUGUUGGGGGCUGAAUUGUGUCCCCCAAAGUCGUAUGUUGAGGUCUUAAUUCUGGUAUUUCAGAAUGUAAAUGUACUUGGAAAUGGAGUCCUAAUGCAAUCAGCAGAUAUGAUCAGUUAAGGGGCGGUCAGGCCGGAGUAGGGUGGCCCUAAUCCCGGUGACUGCUGUCCUUGUGAGAGAGGGAAAUUCGGACGGGCCCUUCCCACGGGGAAAGCGCCACACGGGCGUGAAGGCAGAGCCAAGGAUGACCAGCCAAGCCCCAGAGGCUGGAGCGGGCGGGCCCGCCUCUCCCGCACGGCCCCAGGACGAGCCGGCCCUGCCCGCAUCUUCGUCUCGGACUUCCGGCCUCCGAAGCACAUUUCUGCCGUGUAGGCCCCUCAGUCUGAGGUGCUGUGUCAUGACAGCCCUAGCAGACCCAUGUAGUGUUCGCAUUCAGGUCCUCAGAGACGCUGGUUCCUCCAAACCCAGCAGCCCGUGACCCGUGCGCCGUCAACGCCGGGCCGCUUCGUGGAAACGUCCGUGAACUUCCUCCCCGCACUGACCAGCCAUCUGGGGGUGGAGGGCUCUCCUUAUUUGCCUAACCAGCUUGGGAAAGAGGGGGAGGAACGUUGCUUAAACCUGGAACAGGUAUCUUCCUUCCCUCGGCCAGCAUCUGGUGCCUUUUGAAUGAUCACGAUGACGCCGGCUGGUGUGAGCGCUAACUCUGCUGGGCGUGAGUCUAAAGGCCUUCUGUGAUCAGCUCCUCUGAUUGUGACAAAAACUUGUGAAUUACUGCUGUCAUGCUCUGUUUUUCCGCUUGGGGGCCUGAAGCUUGAACAAGGACUUGCUGACCCGUAAAUACGGCAUAAACAAUGUUGAUUUUAAUUUUUGCACUUGAAAAGCCCCACGGAUUAGUGUUUUGUUUUUGUUUUCCUUAUUCAGAUAAAAUAAUUCUGGCCCUUGUCGCUUAUAUUUGGUGGGGGGGAUUUGGCAUCUCAUUGAUAUUUUUGACGGUUUUGUGGACAGUGGGGAAUAUACGCUUACCUUUUUCCAUGCAUGAAAGUUGAAACCUCCUACUUAUUUUAAAAUUCGGGAUGGUGACAGAAAGGAAGCUGGAUACAGACAAAUCAUUUAAGAACCCAGAGGCAGCUCAGGUCAUCUGCCAUAUUUAUUACAGUCUUCAGCAUCUUGUCCCAGCAAAAAUGUAAGCUACACUUUACGUAGCGAGGUAUUGUUCACAUUUGAAAUAAGGGAUGGGUUUGCCAGGAAGCUGAUGGGGGCGCUGAUCUAGAAUAUAUAUUUAGACAAUAUUUAAAUAACCCAGAAACAUAGUACUUGUUUCUUGGUAUCCUGACACAAUGAACAAAAUGUA